CCCCCCCGCGCGAUUCAAAAGAAAGAGCCGUUGGCUCGUCCGCCUGUUCGCUCACAGCGGGCCUCUUCCGAUUGGACGCCUUGGCGCAGCCAAUGGAAAGUUCGCUCUCCUCCGGACAUUUCGGGAAAGGGGGAAGAAGCGCGCAGGCGCCCUGCCUCGUCGUCCUCCUCCGUCCCGGGAGGAGGAGUCACGGCCAGCCAAUGAGAGGCUGCUCCGCCCAUCCCGGCGCGGAGAACUUUUUUGUCAGCCGCUUGGAAGGGGUAUUCAAAGAAUGCAGCACCAGCUUUCCACCCCCAAGAAAAGCGCUGGUUAAAAUGUGGCAACUUCCUGUUAACAACUUCGUGUGAAUCCAUGAGUGACUGUGGAGGCUAAUUCUGGAUCCACACAUCCUUCCAGUGGGGAAAUAGGUUUCCGGGCGGAAGUUGAUCCUGGUGAGUUUGCCAAGUGUACCUUCCUCUUAACACGUUUCUCUUUUUCAUCCUGUGUUUGAGCAUCUUCAAUGUCCAUGACACCUUUGGUAAAGGCUAUUCUCCAAUUGGAGCCCAGUAACAUGCCAAAAGCUGCCUCUCAAAUGGAGAGUACUCUGUGUUAGGCAGACGCACUCUUUUCCCUGUAGGUCCCUUUUGCUGCAAACUCCAAACAGCCCCUUCCUCAUUUGCAGACACUUGUAACUCAAAAGGCUGUUCUUUGAUGUAAGGUCCAAAAGGCAUAGGUGCAGCUACAACAGAUUUAGCCUCAGAUAACGCUUUUGGUUGCUGCUCCCCCCACCCAAACUGUGUUUUGUUUCUGAUAACCUGAUAGAUUGGUCUCAGGAUCUGGGCUAGACGGGUUAUGUGCUGCUUCCAAAAGCCCACUGGCCCCACUAACUGCCGAGCCUCCUCCUUAGAGGUGGGGGCUUGCAGCGUCCCAAUUACAUUCAACACUCCAUGACACUUCAGAUGCAUUAUCUAGCAAAUUCAAAACCCUCUGAACAUUUCCAUGCAAAAUAGUCAGUGACAGACGUGGGCAGUGGUCUACAGAGAUAGCUGUCUUCAGUAGCCUCACCUCUGGAGCUAUGCCUCUCCCCCCACCCCAAUCUGUUUGCUGGGGAAUUUUCCAAUCACUGCCCCAAAGUGUGGCAAUGAGGGAUACAGUGAUGUGAUGGGAGUGCUGUGGGGGAAGCCCCCCUUCCUCUUCUUUGCUGUUAGCACACUCCUUUUUCCAAAGCUUAAACACCUCUUCAGUGGAAAUGCCUUCUGUCUCUGCUUUUGGCACCCCACCCCUAGCAAUUCAUUCAUCUGCCUCCUGUUCACCUUCUGCUCUAAAUUCCAAGAGCUUGCUUGCUCUCUUUUCCCCCAGCACAUGCUGGGGGGGUCUGGCAGCCCCAUCUUCCUGCACAUCACCUAGCUGCCUUUUUAAAACAACACUUUCCCCCAACAGAUCUUCCCUGAACAGGCUCACUGGGCUCCACUUCUGAGUUCCACUCCCCCCCCCCCGCCAGGAUCUCAC